rnacentral:rRNA from 1 species
UACGUAGGUGGCAAGCGUUGUCCGGAAUUAUUGGGCGUAAAGCGCGCGCAGGCGGUCCUUUAAGUCUGAUGUGAAAGCCCACGGCUCAACCGUGGAAGGUCAUUGGAAACUGGGGGACUUGAGUGCAGAAGAGGAAAGUGGAAUUCCAAGUGUAGCGGUGAAAUGCGUAGAGAUUUGGAGGAACACCAGUGACGAAGGCGACUUUCUGGUCUGUAACUGACGCUGAGGCGCGAAAGCGUGGGGAGCAAACAGG